GACGAACGCUGGCGGCGUGCUUAACACAUGCAAGUCGAACGGAAAGGCCCUGCUUUUGUGGGGUGCUCGAGUGGCGAACGGGUGAGUAACACGUGAGUAACCUGCCCUUGACUUUGGGAUAACUUCAGGAAACUGGGGCUAAUACCGGCUAGGAGCUCCUGCUGCAUGGGGGGGGUUGGAAAGUUUCGGCGGUUGGGGAUGGACUCGCGGCUUAUCAGCUUGUUGGUGGGGUAGUGGCUUACCAAGGCUUUGACGGGUAGCCGGCCUGGGAGGGUGACCGGCCACAUUGGGACUGAGAUACGGCCCAGACUGCUACGGGAGGCAGCAGUGGGGAAUAUUGCACAAUGGGCGGAAGCCUGAUGCAGCAACGCCGCGUGCGUGAUGACGGCCUUCGGGUUGUAAACCGCUUUCGCCUGUGACGAAGCGUGAGUGACGGUAAUGGGUAAAGAAGCACCGGCUAACUACGUG
rnacentral:rRNA from 1 species